CCAUUUUCAAAUUUUUCUGAAAUAUUGAUCUCUCCGCCAAUCUUCUUCUUUAAUGUUCAAAAACUGAACCUUCUCUCUCCUUCAUUAUCAGUAACAACUAACUUCCUCGUGAGCUCCUUCUUUACUUUACCAAAUGCCAGACCUCCAAAUCCAUUUUCAUCAAAUUAGCAUUUAAUUCUCGAUAUUAAAAUGGUGAUAAAUAUCCCUGAUUAACUUUCCAUAUAUGUUUGAAUAUUUCCUUUUAUCAGAUUAUAAUUGGGGAUUUUUUCUUUACCCACUCCAUUUCACAUGGCGACGUCGGCGUUCAAGUCCACCACUAAAAGAACGCCUAUUGCCAAAUCCUCUGCUCCCGCCGCCACAGAUGAAUCUUCUUCUUCUAGUCGGAGUAGCUCGAUUCACCGUCGGUCUCGAAGUCUCAGCCGAUUCUCCCGACCUAUGCCUGUUCCGGGAGAUGACUUAUCCGACGAUGCUCCGGUUCCUAGAGGGAGGUUUGUCAAUACCGUUAGAGGAUCGGGGUUUCCAGAUAUUACUCUUGAUGAUCUCGCUGUUAAGUUCUUUGAUUCUACUGAUCGAGGUCGUUCUGGUUCGAGGACUGAUGACGUCGCCCCUGGGGAUAGAAUGAGUGUGUCUCAAAGAAGAGGGAGGUCUGUGUCGAGGCAUAGCUCGAGAGUUGGUGAAGGGAAGGCUAGUGGUGGAAAUAGCUAUGGUGGGGGACGGGUCAAUUCGGAAAAUAACUCGAGGAGGAGGCGAUCGGUUUCGGUGGUUCGAUAUCAAAUUAGUGAUUCUGAGAGUGAUUUAGAUCAUUCGCAGACUUCAGCAAAUUGUGCUACGUUGAAGAGUUUCAACGGUAGAAAUAGCCAGGUGCCAUUAUCAAAUAAGACAGGUGCUUCAAAUCAAAGACAAGGACUUAGAAGGUCUCUGAGCCAAAAAGAUCUGAAGAACCAGGAUGGCUAUUCUAGCCACUCGUCAAUACUAACUGAUGAUGAAGGAAGAGAUGCUCAUCCCGAUGUACAUCGCACUGAGAAAACAAUACGAGCUGUUUAUGCACAGAAGAAGGCUGAGCAUCCCACUGCUGAUGAUAUUGAUAUGAACAGUGGGCUAUAUGCAGCAAUGCGAAAAGAACUAAGGAAUGCAGUAGAAGAAAUCAAAAUGGAACUUGAAAAAGGCAAGAGAAAACCAAAUAACUCUGGUUUAGCAAGGAAUGACAGCUUGCAAUCCAAAAGUUCUGAUGUUCUUCAGGCCGUUUCUACUAUUAGGAAGAAUUAUGCAUCAAAGUUGGAACUGUCUGAGAAACGUAAACAAGAGUUAUUAUCAGAAAUAUUGUUGGAGGAGCAGCGAGGGAGGGAACUUAACAUGAUUGUGAAGGAAUUGCUUCCUGAUCCAAAUGACAGUGUUGUGGAAAGACCAGCACGAACUCGGAAGAAAAGCAAUGACAGAAGCAGGAUGUCUAAGCGAUUGACUGAGGAUGCAGAGAAAUAUAUUGAAGAUUUCAUUUCAAAUCUUGAAGAUACAGAUAUCUCAUCUAUAGAUGGGGAAAGGAGUAGCGAUACAAGUUCAAGUUUAGGAGGAUUACCAAAGACACAAAAUUUCCAAAGUCCAGUGAUGUCCACCAAGUCUUUUCCUGUUGAAAUGGACGGGGUUGUCCUGCCUUGGUUACAAUGGGAAACUUCUAAUGAUGCUUCUCCUUUAUCGAGCAAGAAAACAGAGUCGAUGGCAACCCCACAAACAAAAUUUUGGCAAGCUCCUCAGGACGCCACCCCUGUGCAAGAAUUAAGUAACCAUUCCAUCAGUAGCCGUGGGAGUUGGAGUCCAGGAAUUGAUGGCUAUUCUUCAAAUAUGAGUGGAGUGGCUGGAAAUAAAUUUGGGCAUAGCCAAAUUUCAACAAGUGCAACAAGGUCACAAUUUGAUCUUGACGAGUAUAUGAAGCGUCGAAGUGAAGAAGACUUUCUGUUUGAAAGAUGGAAUCAACAACAGAGAAUUCAUUCAGGCAAUCUCCUGCUUUGUAACCAAAUGUUCUUUUAGCUAUAAUCCUUUUCUCAAUUCCUUUAGUUCUGGGCCACACUAAUUUCUCUGUAUAGAUGUUUCGAUUCAAUUCUUGUGCAGGUAGCUGUUGACGCCUUGAAAACACAGGAAGCACUUAAGAUAGACAUGAAACAAAAACAUGAGGAGCCCUUCAUUCAAAACCAUAUCAACUUUGACAAAGCAUACUAAUUUAUAUAUCUUUUGUA